AAAACAUAUAUUUUUAGCACAAUAUACCAUCUUAGAAAAAUCACAAAGAUAAAUACAAAACUGAAAGCGUAGACUAUGAUAAGAAACUACAUUUGAUAAAAAGUAGUGUAUUCAUUUUAUUGUUAACAACGUUUCACAAAUUGUGAGUGAAAAGUCUAACAGUUUUUUGGCAACUGACUAUUCUAAUGCAUUAGAACCAACAUAGAUACCUAAAGUAGUGGAGGAACUGUAACAUGAAGUAAAAAACUUACAUGAAGCUCUGUAAUAAUGACAAUUAAGCUUUUCUUUUAACCUGAAUUGGCCACUUUUUCCCGAUAAGGAGACAAAUCUCCUAUCUCUGAUUUCCAGAGAUUCAAGAUGCUGGUGGGAGUGAGGUAAAGGGGGCAGGGCCACUGACAUAAUCACGACCAAAAGUGGAAAACCAGGGAACUAAGUCGGGAAGAUGGGACAGGAUGGAACUGAAAUCUACAUGCACAUCUUAAAUUGUGGUGUUCAAACAGCCCAUUUAUAUUGUGCAGGACUUGUGCUAAAAAGUAUUGCUUAAAAAUAACCUUAUUGGAACCAGUACCCUAUGAAAUCCAAAUAAUCUUAAGACUAUUUAAGACUUGUGUUUAAAUGAAAACAGAACUAGAAUGUUCGUAAUGAUUGCUUCCCUUUAUAAAGAGUAAAGAGAGCAAGGUGCACUAAAAGAAGUAUAUGUUUUAAUGUAGGCAAAAAAACAUUUAACAUCUCCUACGUUAAGUCCCUAAUUAAUGGACUGACAUGAUAAAGAUCUGUUAUUAGGGGACACCUUUUAUGAAACUUGAUUUUUUAACUCUAUUCAGCUACAUUAAAUGUACUUAAUUCUUGCACUAAUCUUUAUUUCAACAUGUGAAACGUAGAAGGUUCAUCGCCUGGAGUCUAUAUGUAUAUGUAAAGUCAUGGACCAAUGUUGUAUUUAUUUACGAUAGAACAUUUUUGCAAUUAC